UACUUCGCCGGCGACCGCGAGCUGGUCCGGUCUCCUCUCUGGUGGGGUGGGGGCCGGCGGGCGGAGAACGAGAGGGAAGGAAGGAUGGUGACAAGGCCAGAAGGGGACUGAAUGUGGAAUUUCGUCAUCAGAUUAUAAAGCGUACAGAUUAGGAGAUCGGUGAAGGGGAACUCAAAGAUGAAGGAGUCAACUAUUAUAAGUGCUCGAUCAGCAAAGUCAAUGAAGUCAACUUCUACAUCAAUGAUGGUGAAAACUUAGACUAAGAGUGGGAGGAAACCAAUUCCUUACUCCUAGACCCUAAAUAGCUAGAGUUCAAUUAUAGUUUUUUUAGCAUGCCAAGUAACUCAAUAGGUAGAGCUACUGAUAAAUUUAGUCAACAAGUUAUUCUUAUGGAGUUUUAUUUGUAAUUUUACCUUAUUGUACUUCUAUAGACAUAUCUUGGACCUUCAGUUGUACCACUUUAAAUGAUAAUACUAGUUAAACGGUGUUUUAU